GUUUGACUAUGAUUGGAACAGAAACACACACACACACUGACUGAACUGGUGGUUACGAUCAGAGACACCUUACACGUACGUGGUGGAUUGAGACGAGAGCAGAGAGGAUUAUAGAUCUAGACUAGAUCUGAUUACAAUUUCAAUUUCUCAGAGGUCUUAGGAGAGAGGAGGGGACCACUGCCUCUAAAAUGAAUCUCACUGGGGAACAUGCAUCCCCAAUGUUGAGAGCCUAAUCCAGCAGGAGAGACCAGACUCAACUGUACCGAGCUGUGCGUCCAUGAAGAGUGACCAGUCUAUAGAUCCACCUACCGUGUCCAGAGAGAGAACCUCUUCUACUAAACUAAAGUAAGCGGGGUGUUCUUGAGCGAAAUAGGUUCCCCUAAUGUACAGACAUAGUGUCCAUCUAUAAAUGUAUCAACGAAAGAAGGCUAAUAAAAUUUGUUAGACAUACCUGUAAUGCUCCAACGAGAAACCUAUCAAAUAACUUGAAAAUCACAAUAUAUAUUGCUAGUGAAUGGAUGUUCUGAAAGUAGUUUGAUGGUUGUAGAUCAUAAGACUAAGGAGCUAUUGACAUUUUAAUCUUUUAAAAAAUGAUCAUAAAAUCUAAUGAGAUGCAAAUGGACAAACAAAAGGCUGUGCAAUGUGUAGGCCCAAUGAGUGUACAUUAUGAACCUUGUUUGAGGUGUGUGGGUCACAUGACCAAGGUGGUAUUGAAUUUCAAAUGCAACGUGUGUCUAUGCCAUCGGGUUAACUAGAACCAGUUUUGAAGGUUUCAGGAGUAACGGUUAAAGAGCUACUGAAAUGAGAAAAAUUGGAUUUAUCAUUAUGUUGAUGGUCCUUAACUGCUGUUAGUGGACGUAAGGAAAACUACAGACGAAUAUCCGUCAAAUAUCCAACCUGAAUCUGUCUUUACCUCGUUUGCCUGAGGCUGAUGCCGCGCAGGUGCUUGUACUCAUUCUUGUACACAUGCAUAUACACUCGCAUUCAAAUGCGCAUGUGCACACACACAUGUAAAUAGUGCCGCACAUGCACUGAAAUGUAUAUAGUUGGCCUAGCUGUAUUGUUUUUUGUUGUCUUUGAUGUGUUUAGUUUUUGCAUUGUUGUUUCUCUUUUUUCUCUUUUGUAAAUUUUGUCGCUCUGGACGGGAGACGGUUAGAUGAUUGAAUGUAAUGUAAAUGUUGAGCGGCUUCACUGCAUGUACAUUGUAUGUUUUAAUAUUUACAUGUGAUUUUCAUGAUUUAAAAAAAGAGAAUUUAAAAAAAAACACGUUAUAGCAAUAUGUCAGUCGAUGACGUGUCAUGCAACCAUUGGUUGAUGCAUGAGCAGGUGACUGCAACCACAGUUUUCAAUCGUGUCCUUUUAGCUUCAUAUCACGCCUUAUCCUUUGACUGUUUUUGUUUGAUAACUUUGUACCUUUUUGAGUUAGCUUUUUACCAUCAUUAUGAUCUUGGAAUCUGUUCAAAUAACCUGAAAAACAAUCAAUCCCUUAUUACCCAAACCUUGGAACUGCGUGACAAACUGUAAAUGUGUGAUAAUUGCAAUCAAGAAAUCUCAAAAGUUGCCCAGGUUCCCUGAUCUUGCUAUGGCAAACAAGCUGGUUUUACCAUACUGUAAUUGUCAUUUCUGCAGAGUGAUUGUUCUCAACUAAAACUCAUAAAGAACUACCCAAGAAGCAUUAGGCUCUGUCUGAUAUGCACUGUUAAACACCUGAGGAAGCUCCACUCUUUUCACUGGCACUGUAGCCUUGACCACGGCAUUUGUUCACUGACAUCCCCUCCAUACUUUCAUUCAUUACAUAUUUUUAUUUCACAUUCCUGAAGCUGUUCUGUCGGAUUUCUGCUACAGUCCUUGAGCACAUGGUCAAUACAGAUAAGAUAGAAAAGAUGCCCAAAACUCUGACUGAAAUGUACACAUACUUCCUGGAAUUUCAGUCCAAAUAGACAGAUGUGAAGUAUAAAGGGGAAGGUGAGACUAAUCUAUGCUGGCACUGGGGAAACUGGCCUUCGAACAGCUUGAAAAGGACAUCAGAUUUUCUACGAGGAAGACCUGACUAAGUGUGAUAUCGACA